GAGACACGGCCCAGACUCCUACGGGAGGCAGCAGUGGGGAAUUUUCCGCAAUGGGCGAAAGCCUGACGGAGCAACGCCGCGUGAGGGACGAAGGCCUCUGGGCUGUAAACCUCUUUUCUCAAGGAAGAAGAUAUGACGGUACUUGAGGAAUAAGCCACGGCUAAUUCCGUGCCAGCAGCCGCGGUAAUACGGGAGUGGCAAGCGUUAUCCGGAAUUAUUGGGCGUAAAGCGUCCGCAGGCGGCUUUUCAAGUCUGCUGUUAAAGCGUGGAGCUUAACUCCAUCAUGGCAGUGGAAACUGAAAGGCUUGAGUAUGGUAGGGGCAGAGGGAAUUCCCGGUGUAGCGGUGAAUGCGUAGAUAUCGGGAAGAACACCAGUGGCGAAGGCGCUCUGCUGGGCCAUUACUGACGCUCAUGGACGAAAGCCAGGGGAGCGAAAGGGAUUAGAUACCCCUGUAGUCCUGGCCGUAAACGAUGAACACUAGGUGUCGGGGGAAUCGACCCCUUCGGUGUCGUAGCUAACGCGUUAAGUGUUCCGCCUGGGGAGUACGCACGCAAGUGUGAAACUCAAAGGAAUUGACGGGGGCCCGCACAAGCGGUGGAGUAUGUGGUUUAAUUCGAUGCAACGCGAAGAACCUUACCAGGGUUUGACAUCCUGCGAACCUCUUAGAAAUUUGAGGGUGCCUUCGGGAAUGCAGUGACAGGUGGUGCAUGGCUGUCGUCAGCUCGUGUCGUGAGAUGUUGGGUUAAGUCCCGCAACGAGCGCAACCCACGUUUUUAGUUGCCAGCAUUUAGUUGGGCACUCUAGAAAGACCGCCGGUGAUAAACCGGAGGAAGGUGUGGAUGACGUCAAGUCAUCAUGCCCCUUACACCCUGGGCUACACACGUACUACAAUGCUACGGACAAAGGGCAGCAAACUCGCGAGAGCUAGCAAAUCCCAUAAACCGUGGCUCAGUUCAGAUCGUAGGCUGCAACUCGCCUACGUGAAGUAGGAAUCGCUAGUAAUCGCAGGUCAGCAUACUGCGGUGAAUACGUUCCCGGGCCUUGUACACACCGCCCGUCACACCAUGGAAGUUGGCCAUGCCCGAAGUCGUUACUCCA
rnacentral:rRNA from 1 species